GCAUAUUUAAUUUUUUUCAUACAAUCGAUUUCAUUUUUAUUUUUGCAUCAUAUGCAUAGCAUGACGUACAUUGAAUCAUGAAUAACACCUAAAAUAUUCUGACAGAAUGAAUUUAUUGAAAAUACAGACCAAUCAGUUGAAUCAUUUCUCAAGAACAGGCAAAAUCAACAAUGAUUGUUUCAGUUAUAUCUUGACUCACCUGAGUCUUUUAACCGAUACAAGAUUAUUUCAGAAUUUGACGAAAAAACUGUAUUUUUUAAUAAGUAUGUUUUGUCCUGACAAUUUUAGUGUGACCGGUUCAAUUUUCCGAACAAAUUUGUACUCGAUUUCCAUUUCUAAUCGAUUCAUAUUUUUUGGGUUUAGUUAUUUAUUUAAAAUAAUUAAAAUUUAUUCAAAUUAAAUAUUAGUUAGAAAUUUUAUGAGUUUAUUUUCUUUAAAUGAAUAAUGAGUGUAAAAUAUAUAUAUUCCUACAUUGGAUUCUAAAAAAAAGAAGGAAAAAAUCUGAUAUCUCUCUCUCAACGUCUCUCACGACUAACCACCCAAUCCAUAAAAAUCUCACAAAAAAAAUCUUUGAAAAAUCUCUCAAAUAUCUCUCAGGAUCUCUCUUACCUCGCGC
rnacentral:lncRNA from 1 species